rnacentral:rRNA from 1 species
AUUGAACGCUGGCGGCAGGCCUAACACAUGCAAGUCGAGCGGAUGAAGGGAGCUUGCUCCUGGAUUCAGCGGCGGACGGGUGAGUAAUGCCUAGGAAUCUGCCUGGUAGUGGGGGAUAACGUCCGGAAACGGGCGCUAAUACCGCAUAUGUCCUGAGGGAGAAAGUGGGGGAUCUUCGGACCUCACGCUAUCAGAUGAGCCUAGGUCGGAUUAGCUAGUUGGUGGGGUAAAGGCCUACCAAGGCGACGAUCCGUAACUGGUCUGAGAGGAUGAUCAGUCACACUGGAACUGAGACACGGUCCAGACUCCUACGGGAGGCAGCAGUGGGGAAUAUUGGACAAUGGGCGAAAGCCUGAUCCAGCCAUGCCGCGUGGGUGAAGAAGGUCUUCGGAUUGUAAAGCACUUUAAGUUGGGAGGAAGGGCAGUAAGUUAAUACCUUGCUGUUUUGACGUUACCAACAGAAUAAGCACCGGCUAACUUCGUG